GCACCGGUGGUGGAAUUGGUAGACACGCCAUCUUGAGGGGGUGGUGUCUGUAGGACAUGCGAGUUCGAGUCUCGCCCGGUGCACCA
rnacentral:tRNA from 2 species